rnacentral:lncRNA from 1 species
ACAUGACUUUUCUAGAGAAGAUGAGAAGGAACUAAUUUUAAACACCUGGCCUUGGUCUGAUGCAUCCGUUACCUCCACCAGAAAGGAUGGCUAAAGGCAGAAGAGCCUGAGAGAGGAGACCCACGUGGCACACACUGCCGUACACUUCCACAAAGACUGGAUUUUUCCAUAGUCAGAAGGCAGCUGAACUCCAUAGGAUAUGAUGUGAGCAAGAGCAGGAAAGCACCUAGAAAAGGCCAUGUGAGAACAUAGUAUGCAGGUGGCCACCUGCAAUCCAGGAAGAAAUCUGCCACCAAGAACCGAAUUGGCAGGCACCUUGAUCUUGGACUUAUGGUCUCCAGAAUGGUGAGAAAGUAAAUUUCUGUUGUUUUAGUCACCUAGCCUGUGGUAUUUUGUAAUGAUAAUCUGAGCAGACUAAGAGAAUAAGUAAUCAUUUUAAGUUAGAGUACAUAUCACUUACCAGGGACCUUGGGGAAAUAUUGAGUCUUGAAGGUAAAGACAGUUGAAGACCUGGUGGAUGGGACAGGAAGGCACCUGAAUUUAAGGAUGACUUUCUUAAAUAGCUUAGUGAGCUUUGAUGGCUUCGUGGGAAAUGCCUAGAGUGUUUGUUGCUUCCCACAACAGGACAUAGUGGUCAUCUUGAACACACAGGAGAAAAUUUUAUGCCCCAGUUCAUCCUCCGCAGAAGAGGAUGCUUUCCUCACUACCAAGUUGAAACUCAGGGCGGCUUUUUUUUUUGCCUCUUGUUAAAUGUUCUCUUGCAACCAUGGGGCAAGUAAAGAUCUAAGAUGUCUGUUUUUUUGCAUGGAGUUGCAAUGACAGCUAGGAACAAUGGCAAGGCAAGAUGAAAGGUGGCCACUAGAAGAGCAGGGUGACUACCUGAAGGAAUCUAUUACUUUGCCUAAAAAAAUACUCUUGCUAGAUUAAGCUUUCUUGUGACUUCUAUACAGUGAUCCUAAUUGUGUUUCUUGGAUUCAGCAGAAAUACUCCCACCACUAUGACCAGCUAAUUUUGUGUGUGUGUGUGUGUGUGUGUGUGUGUGUGUGUGUGUGUGUGUACUUUUAGUAGAGACGGGGUUUUACCAUGUUGGACAGGCUGGCCUCGAACUCCUGAUCUCUUGAUUCGCCCGCCUUGGCCUCUCAAAGUGCUGGGAUUACAGGUGAGAUGGAGUUAUUUCUUUAUGUUAUUUACUCUGUCUACAGCCAGAAAACAUUGCAAAAUUUAAUCAAAUUGUCUAACUCAGUAGAUAUUAAAUGAAAUUAUGGCAGAAAUCUAUGUGAAGUAGGCUCCUUUUUAAUAAUUUUUUUUUAUCCUUUCCAUCAUUCCUAUUCUUAUCUAUCUAUUAGGACCCAGUUCAAAUCCAAGAUUGCUAUAGAUUCAUUUUUAAUUACACGAUUCAUGAGAUUUUUAUCUUUGUCUCUGCUUUCUUGCAUAGCUUUGAAUUUGUACUUCCUAUUCUAACAUUUUUUAAUACUGAGGAUGAUGUUUGCCUUUUCCAGCCAAGAAAUUCUGAACUGCACGC